rnacentral:rRNA from 1 species
GACGAACGCUGGCGGCGUGCUUAACACAUGUAAGUCGAACGGAAAGGCCCUGCUUUUGUGGGGUACUCGAGUGGCGAACGGGUGAGUAACACGUGAGUAACCUGCCCUUGACUUUGGGAUAACUUCAGGAAACUGGGGCUAAUACCGGAUAGGAGCUCCUGCUGCAUGGUGGGGGUUGGAAAGUUUCGGCGGUUGGGGAUGGACUCGCGGCUUAUCAGCUUGUUGGUGGGGUAGUGGCUUACCAAGGCUUUGACGGGUAGCCGGCCUGAGAGGGUGACCGGCCACAUUGGGACUGAGAUACGGCCCAGACUCCUACGGGAGGCAGCAGUGGGGAAUAUUGCACAAUGGGCGGAAGCCUGAUGCAGCAACGCCGCGUGCGGGAUGACGGCCUUCGGGUUGUAAACCGCUUUCGCCUGUGACGAAGCGUGAGUGACGGUAAUGGGUAAAGAAGCACCGGCUAACUACGUG